CCUACUCUCAGGUAAGGAUGCUUCUCUACUUCAUGUCCUUUAGUGGUACUUUUAUCAUAACUAAUAUGCCAUGUUGUGCGAAAGCUUAACCAAGAGGCUGGGAAGGCUUUAGAGAGAGUUUGGAUAGUGAGUUGAGUUAAAUUAA